CGUAGCUCAGUUGGAUAGAGCGUUGGCCUCCGGAGCCAAAGGUCGAAGGUUCGAAUCCUUUCG
rnacentral:tRNA from 2 species